AUCUAAUGUAAUUCCUACAAUGUUAAUGCAAAGGAUUCCAUUAGAACUUCGUAGCUAAGCGCACUUGGGAUAGAGUAGUACUUGGAUGGGUGAGAUCCUAGGAAGUCCUAAUAUUUUACGUG
rfam:Picea glauca, whole genome shotgun sequence.